UGGUUGAUAGCUCCGGUCUUGAAAACCGGUAUAGUUCUAGGAACUAUCGAGGGUUCGAAUCCCUCUCUCUCCU
rnacentral:tRNA from 1 species